CAGAGGCUCAGGAAAACAAGUGGUGCAGUUGGAAGUGCCUGGCUCGUGUCCUGUCCAAACAGCGGCAUCGAUUCCCAGUAACUCCCUGCCUGCCCAAAGCCGGGACCAGUCCGGGUUUCCUGUGCAUUUUCCGGAGCUCCGCCAUGGUGCCGUUGAAGGUUUGCUGGGAACAGGGAACACAAAGGGAUCACUGAGCUCAGCUCGGCUCUCAGAGCACAGUUCUCACCUGUAAAAACUUUUUUCCUGAAAAAUAAAACCAAAUGCCUUCUCA